rnacentral:rRNA from 1 species
GUAAACGAUGUCGACUUGGAGGUUGUGCCCUUGAGGUGUGGCUUCCGGAGCUAACGCGUUAAGUCGACCGCCUGGGGAGUACGGCCGCAAGGUUAAAACUCAAAUGAAUUGACGGGGGCCCGCACAAGCGGUGGAGCAUGUGGUUUAAUUCGAUGCAACGCGAAGAACCUUACCUGGUCUUGACAUCCACGGAAGUUUUCAGAGAUGAGAAUGUGCCUUCGGGAACCGUGAGACAGGUGCUGCAUGGCUGUCGUCAGCUCGUGUUGUGAAAUGUUGGGUUAAGUCCCGCAACGAGCGCAACCCUUAUCCUUUGUUGCCAGCGGUCCGGCCGGGAACUCAAAGGAGACUGCCAGUGAUAAACUGGAGGAAGGUGGGGAUGACGUCAAGUCAUCAUGGCCCUUACGACCAGGGCUACACACGUGCUACAAUGGCGCAUACAAAGAGAAGCGACCUCGCGAGAGCAAGCGGACCUCAUAAAGUGCGUCGUAGUCCGGAUUGGAGUCUGCAACUCGACUCCAUGAAGUCGGAAUCGCUAGUAAUCGUGGAUCAGAAUGCCACGGUGAAUACGUUCCCGGGCCUUGUACACACCGCCCGUCACACCAUGGGAGUGGGUUGCAAAAGAAGUAGGUAGCUUAACC